GUAGUUAGCCGGGGCUUUCUUACAGGGUACCGUCACUUCUUCGUCCCCUGCGACAGAGGUUUACAAUCCGAAAACCUUCUUCCCUCACGCGGCGUUGCUGGGUCAGGCUUGCGCCCAUUGCCCAAUAUUCCCCACUGCUGCCUCCCGUAGGAGUCUGGACCGUGUCUCAGUUCCAGUGUGGCCGAUCAGCCUCUCAGCUCGGCUACCCAUCGUCGGCUUGGUGGGCUGUUAUCUCACCAACUACCUAAUGGGACGCGAACCCCUCUAAAAGCGAUAAAUCUUUGACCUCUUCCCGAUGCCGGGUUGUGGUCUUAUGCGGUAUUAGCAGUUGUUUCCACCUGUUAUUCCCCACUCUUAGGCAGGUUGUUCACGCGUUACUCACCCGUGCGCCACUAGAAUUAUCAAUUCCAUCCGAAAACUUCCUUAAUAAUCCCCGUUCGACUUGCAUGUGUUAGGCACGCCGCCAGCGUUCGUCCUCGAGCCACAAUACAAACUACUAGA
rnacentral:rRNA from 1 species